rnacentral:rRNA from 1 species
UACGGAGGGUGCAAGCGUUAUCCGGAUUCACUGGGCUUAAAGGGCGCGUAGGUGGUUUGGUAAGUCAGUGGUGAAAUCUCCGAGCUUAACUUGGAGACUGCCAUUGAUACUAUCAGUCUUGAAUACCGUGGAGGUCAGCGGAAUAUGUCAUGUAGCGGUGAAAUGCUUAGAUAUGACAUAGAACACCAAUUGCGAAGGCAGCUGACUGCGCGAAUAUUGACACUGAUGCACGAAAGCGUGGGGAUCAAACAGG